rnacentral:rRNA from 1 species
UCCGUAGGCGGGAAUCUAAGUCAGUGGUGAAAUCUUACAGCUCAACUGUAAAAUUGCCAUUGAUACUGGAUUUCUUGAAUUAGUGUGAAAUGGUUAGAAUGUGUAGUGUAGCGGUGAAAUGCAUAGAUAUUACACAGAAUACCAAUUGCGAAGGCAGAUCACUAACACUAUAUUGACGCUGAGGGACGAAAGCGUGGGGAGCGAACAGGAUUAGAUACCCUGGUAGUCC